rnacentral:tRNA from 1 species
UUGGGGUAUAGCCAAGCGGUAAGGCACCGGUUUUUGGUACCGGCAUUCCCUGGUUCGAAUCCAGGUACCCCAGCCAC